UACGUAGGGGGCAAGCGUUGUCCGGAUUUACUGGGCGUAAAGCGCCUGUAGGCGGCCUGUCAAGUCCGGCCUGAAAGCCCCCGGCUCAACCGGGGAGGGUGGCUGGAAACUGGCAGGCUUGAGGGCGAGAGAGGAGGGUGGAAUUCCUGGUGUAGCGGUGAAAUGCGUAGAGAUCAGGAGGAAGACCAGUGGCGAAGGCGGGUCUCUGGACAGUUCCUGACACUGAGGCACGAAGGCCAGGGGAGCAAACGGG
rnacentral:rRNA from 1 species